AAGACAGCCCUCUGGGUCGUAAACUGCUUUUAUUCGGGAAUAAACCACAUUACGUGUAAUGUGCUGAAUGUACCGAAGGAAUAAGGAUCGGCUAACUCCGUGCCAGCAGCCGCGGUAAUACGGAAGAUCCAAGCGUUAUCCGGAUUUAUUGGGUUUAAAGGGUGCGUAGGCGGCUUAUUAAGUCAGGGGUGAAAGACGGUGGCUCAACCAUCGCAGUGCCUUUGAUACUGAUGAGCUUGAAUACNCUAGAGNUAGGCGGAAUGUGACAAGUACCGGUGAAAUGCAUAAANUUUUCCANAACCCNGNUGNNAANGCCCCUNACUUGGGGGGAUUGACCCUUAGGCCCCAAANCCUGGGGAUCAANCAGNAUAAAANCCNUGNGGUCCAAGGGCNANUUUUGGAAUUNCCUNANAAUGGGGGGC
rnacentral:rRNA from 1 species